rnacentral:rRNA from 1 species
CCUGGCUCAGAUUGAACGCUGGCGGCAGGCUUAACACAUGCAAGUCGAGCGGUAACAUUUCUAGCUUGCUAGAAGAUGACGAGCGGCGGACGGGUGAGUAAUACUUAGGAAUCUACCUAGUAGUGGGGGAUAGCACGGGGAAACUCGUAUUAAUACCGCAUACGACCUACGGGAGAAAGGGGGCAGUUUACUGCUCUCGCUAUUAGAUGAGCCUAAGUCGGAUUAGCUAGAUGGUGGGGUAAAGGCCUACCAUGGCGACGAUCUGUAGCUGGUCUGAGAGGAUGAUCAGCCACACCGGGACUGAGACACGGCCCGGACUCCUACGGGAGGCAGCAGUGGGGAAUAUUGGACAAUGGGGGAAACCCUGAUCCAGCCAUGCCGCGUGUGUGAAGAAGGCCUUUUGGUUGUAAAGCACUUUAAGCAGUGAAGAAGACUCCAUGGUUAAUACCCAUGGACGAUGACAUUAGCUGCAGAAUAAGCACCGGCUAACUCUGUGCCAGCAGCCGCGGUAAU